AGGUCAUUUGCUCACCUUUUAUAACUUACAUUCAAUGUCUGGUAAUGGAUAUUAUGACUGUUUGAAGACCUCCCCUUAUUGCCUAAUUUUUCUUAUUAGCAAAAAUAAAUGGCAGUACAUACACACAACCAAGUUUUAUAUUUUUCUAUCAAUCCUAGACAGAUCAACAAUAUUACAUAAUACAGCAUUAUUGUAAAUAAUAGCAUUUAUGUAAAUUGUGAUAUGUUAUUUUUAUGCUGGUACCAAAAAUAGUAGUCUAGUCAUAAUAUAAUUGUAAUUCUAAUUUUUGAGUACUUUUGAGUAUUUAGCUGAUCUUCCUUUUUGUCUACAUUAGCCAAUCAGAGUGCGGCAUUUAGUCGCGCGAUGUUUUGACUACGUCACUUUAACUGUCAGCUGUCAACAAUUUUGUAAACACCGCAGUCAACCCACCCUCCUUCCCCUUCAUCACCAGUGUAGUUGGGGAUUUAUUUUGCAAUGUAUUACACAUGUUUGUUGCUGUUGAUGUAUGAAAUGCUGUUUUUGUUCAACAAUAUUUUUGUUGCAUGUAUAUUUGGUACAUGUUAUAAUGUAUACAUCUUUGUUUAAUAUGGGGGAGGUCAUUUGCUCACCUUUUAUAACUUACAUUCAAUGUCUGGUAAUGGAUAUUAUGACUGUUUGAAGACCUCCCCUUAUUGCCUAAUUUUUCUUAUUAGCAAAAAUAAAUGGCAGUACAUACACAC
rnacentral:sRNA from 1 species